GCGGCCGGCGCCGCCGUCCCGCCCGCCCUGUGAGGGCCCAGGCCGGCGGGUGGCCGAGGCCGCAGGGGAGCACCGGCAACUCCGCUGUUCCCAGCGGAGUAAAACGCCGUGGAAGAGAAAAAAAAAGCCGAGUUCCUCACAACCCCCGCGUCCUGGGGGACCUGGAGCUGUGAGAGUCACCGAAGGGCAGGAGAUGGGCGACGAACCCCGGGGAAGCCUUCACACGCACCGGGGGCCCCAGCGAUCCGCGCCAGAAUGCGGGCAAGCUCCUUAACGUGCCUUUGCCCCGAGAGCAGGAAGGCGGCCUGCAGCUCAGCGGUUACCCGUAAAUAAAACAACCCCAGCUCCUCGCAGUUAGGACGAAGAGGAAUCCAUUUGGAUACAGGGAGUGUCGGAACUGAGGUUUCGGAGAAAGGAAUACCGAGAACUUAGGGAAACAAAACUUGUUGCCACUGUAGCCGGAUUCAGGCGAUUCGUUCCUCUGUAACCUGUCCAAGCAAAAAAGUCUACAGCGUAUACUCAAGUUACUAUGAAAAAAUCAGUUAGAAACAAGAGGAGCAGCAGUGGCGGUGUGUUGCCAGCCACAGCAUCCGUUCCGAAGCCCAGCAAGAGAAGCCAGAGAGUCAUCAACGUCUUGUGCUCCAUCUGCAGUAUCAGAAAUUUAUAAUCACAUGAAAGCCAGUGCAUUGAGCCACAGAGAGGGAAGGAGGAAAGAAUGAACAGCUCCUUCAUAUUUGAACAACAAUGUAAACAAACUGAAUGAGCAUGUGAAGAGGUUUGUAUUUCAUAAGGCACGAAAAUGGACUCUUUGGCAGAGGUUAUAUUGCUGCCCUCUGCUGCUGGGAACUCGUGCGGUUCAUCUGCCUAACGAGCAGAAAAACGGGCUAUUUGCGAUAAAAGUCUCUGGCCGCACAUAGCAGUACUGCAGCCAAGAGCCUCGAGAUACCUAGUUCAGAAGUGAAGAGGAGGUGAGCUCCCGGAGAGGCAGGGGACGACAGCUUUCUACCCUCUAAUGCGGGCUGGGGGAGGCUGGCUCGUAUCAGUGGCGUUAGCCAGCUGCAGCAGCCAGGGGAGCCUCCCUGGGCUCGCUUCUGCCCACAGCCAGGUUUUCAGGGUGAUCUGCCAUCCCUGUGCCAACACAGCCUUCACUGGAAUAGCUCAGUCUUUGAAUCGCUCCCAAACCAUCAGGAAUCACCAUCCCUCACCAGCAGUAGGAAAGAUGAGACAACAGUGGGAUUGCUGAGGCCUGUGCGGUCUGGAGCACUGCACUUACAGAGCACACACCACUUGCCAAUCCCACGCAAGCCUACAAACGAUGAGAAAGAUGGUCUAAAAAUCAAAUGGAUUAUAGCUGGUAUAUUAAAACCAGAAACUACUUCUUACCUGUAAAUCUUCACGUUAUUCAUCUAUGAGAAUGUGAUUGAUUACUAUUAAAGAGAAUUAAAGAAGAUAGACUUGACAUCCAUGGUAAACUGGUCUAGGAAUAAAGACAAGUCCAAAUUUGUCCCCACAUUUUGAAAUGAAACAUACUCUGUUUUACAUUUAUUUUAUACUCUAUUUAAAUGGGGGAGAAUCAAUACUCAUCUACCUUAUUUUUUUUUUUAAUAAAUGUAUGAAAAUUUGUUAGAUUUAUGAAUAUAUACAAGCAGCAUUUUUAAUCUUUUUUAAGAUAGCAGCUGAAGAAGUCUCAGAUUGUAUGCAAUUAUUGAUUUAUGCUGUGAACUCUCUGUGGACCAAAAAAGGUUCAUUGACCAUAUUACAGUAGCACCCGGAGACCUCCGACUGCAGGCAGACACAGUUUGCUAGGGAGUCUGAAUGUGCCUAGAGAAAAAGACCAGAUGUUCUGGAGCAGCAACAAUCUAGCUGUGCCAGAAAGUGGGUGAGGAAAGGGCUACCCUGACUUCUGCUUUGAAAAUGUGAGAGAAGCAGCAACAAAAUAGAAGAUUUUAUGUUUAGGAGUACUCAGUGCUAACUUUUGUAACUACCAGCAAAGCCUCCAUUGAUACUCGGCAGGAGACAAGCCAGGAGAAGCCAACACCCAUUGAAAAUCUGGAUUUGAAGCCAAAUCUCCCACGUACAACUCCAGUGGAUUGUUUUGGUUGUGUUUUUUUUUUUUUUUUUUUUUUUUUUUUUUCUUUAGGUUACAGAAAGAAAUUCCGGAAGUUGGUUUAAAAAAUAUUCUCUGGAGUCCUCUGAAUAAACAGCAAAGACAACUGUUGAAAUAUAACAUUCCAUAAACUUUUUACUAUUAAAAUUAAUCACACAUGA